GACGAACGCUGGCGGCAUGCCUAAUACAUGCAAGUCGAGCGAACAGAUGAAGUGCUUGCACUUCUGACGUUAGCGGCGAACGGGUGAGUAACACGUAAGGAAUCUACCUAUAAGCGGGGGAUAACAUUCGGAAACGGGUGCUAAUACCGCAUAAUAUCUUCUUCCGCAUGGAAGAAGAUUGAAAGACGGCUCUGCUGUCACUUAUAGAUGACCUUGCGGUGCAUUAGUUAGUUGGUGGGGUAAUGGCCUACCAAGACGAUGAUGCAUAGCCGACCUGAGAGGGGGAACGGCCACAUUGGGACGCGGAAACUGCCCAAACUCCUACGGGAGGCGGCAGUAGGGAAUCUUCCGCAAUGGGCGAAAGCCUGACGGAGCAAUGCCGCGUGAGUGAAGAAGGCCUUCGGGUCGUAAAACUCUGUUAUAAGAGAAGAACAAAUUGUAGAGUAACUGCUACAGUCUUGACGGUAUCUUAUCAGAAAGCCACGGCUAACUACGUGCCAGCCGCCGCCGUAA
rnacentral:rRNA from 1 species